GGUUUAAAAAACCCAGUUUGAGGUAGUUAUUGAAUUCUGAAGUAUAAUCUUCAGCUUUCAAAAUUUUGGAACGAAGCUAUUUUUUAGCUUCUAA
rnacentral:snRNA from 14 species